rnacentral:lncRNA from 1 species
AAAUGGAACAGGUAUUGCACUAUUAAUUUAUUUUACAAUCUAUGAGUUAAGAGUAUUUACAUAAGGCUUAGUUUUUAUUAGUGUAAAAAAAAAAAGCUUUAAUGCUUUUAUAUAUUUUAUACUCUGCAUUUCUAAGGCUGGUAUACGUUCUCUGGGCAGCAGAAUAAUUUGGUUAUUCUGAAAACAGUGCACUUACUUUUCCUGUCCCAACCAGUACUGGCCUCUUCGCUCUCACCACAGCUACACAAGCCCAUACUUUUGCAGAGAAGAGAAAACUCUUACGGCCCUCCCUUUUCAAAGUCACAGAAAGCUGAUCGUAAACACACUGGAGAAAGUGUAAAGAAAAUUGUGUCUCAAAAAAGGGACUAGUAUGGGGGCCCCACAGCAAUACCAGAACAAUGACUGUCUUUACUCAAACUGAAGCAACCUUGAAUUUUCUUAAAAUCAAGUCCAAUAAGGCCAAUAUCCAAGUUCUGAGAUUGCCCAGAGGAAAAGGUUUGUCAGACUAUAAUCUUUAUGGAAAAGUUGUUCCUUGACCUUUUUUGCCACUGUAUGUCUACUGCAGCACAGGGAGGUCAAAAGUGCACUAGUUGUUAGCACCAAAGAUGAAGCUUAACCAGACACUGAAAGCAAUGAUUGUCAAACGGCUCCAUUUGCAAGACAAGAAGUGUGUCCUUAGCAAAGCAAGGGAGAUGAAAGAGAUUAUUUUCUAGAGGUCACAUUUGUUCUUCUUUUCUGACCUCUCUCAAGAUUGCAAAAGAAACGGUAAGUUUUCUAUAGGAAAGAGAUGCUACAAAGAAAAAGGGACUGUGCUUUCCUCCUCUUUCUCUGCUAGUCUUCCAGCCACGGUUAAAGUCUGUUCUGCCUUUCUUUCUCUUUCGUAAAAGCCUACUGAGAGCAUAAUAAUUGAAUAAAGAAAUUAAACAGACAGUUUCAAGUUCCUGUAAUUCUACAUUUUAUAGCCCUUCCCAGAACCUAGAAAUGAGUUUGGGUGAUUGUUUGGAGCUCUUGUUUCUUGUCCUCCUUCCCCCUGUUUCUGUCAUUAGUAUCCUGUGGCGGCAGCACCUAGAGCCCUAGCCAUGGGUCUGUGAGGUACUGGAAAUAAAUGAACUGUUUCUGUUUCGCAUUUCCAGCAUCCCUCUGUUUUUUACUGGCUAUAGCUAU